UCCAGACUCCUACGGGAGGCAGCAGUGGGGAAUAUUGCACAAUGGGGGAAACCCUGAUGCAGCGACGCCGCGUGAGUGAAGAAGUAUUUCGGUAUGUAAAGCUCGAUCAGCAGGGAAGAAAAUGACGGUACCUGACUAAGAAGCCCCGGCUAACUACGUGCCAGCAGCCGCGGUAAUACGUAGGGGGCAAGCGUUAUCCGGAUUUACUGGGUGUAAAGGGAGCGUAGACGGCAUGGCAAGUCAGAUGUGAAAGCCCGGGGCUCAACCCCGGGACUGCAUUUGAAACUGUCAGGCUGGAGUGCAGGAGAGGUAAGUGGAAUUCCUAGUGUAGCGGUGAAAUGCGUAGAAAUUAGGAGGAACACCAGUGGCGAAGGCGGCUUACUGGACUGUAACUGACGUUGAGGCCCGAAAGCGUGGGGAGCAAACAGGAUUAGAUACCCCGGUAGG
rnacentral:rRNA from 1 species